GACAGGGGGGGCAAGCGUUGCUCGGAAUUACUGGGCGUAAAGGGCGCGUAGGCGGGAUGGCAAGUCGGUCGUGAAAUCCCUCGGCUCAACCGAGGAACGUCGAUCGAUACUGCUGUUCUUGAGGAUUGCAGAGGAGACUGGAAUUCCCGGUGUAGCGGUGAAAUGUGUAGAGAUCGGGAGGAACACCGGUGGCGAAGGCGGGUCUCUGGGCAAUUCCUGACGCUGAGGCGCGAAAGCGUGGGGAGCAAACGGG
rnacentral:rRNA from 1 species